rnacentral:lncRNA from 1 species
AUGUUCACCGAGUUCAUCCUGAACGUGCCCACCGGCCUGCUGACCAUCCAGAAGCUCUACUGCCUGAUCGAGAUCGUGCACAGCGACCUCUUCACCCAGCACGGUGAGCCGAGCCCCCCCCGACGCUGCCCCGGGCCGGCUGGGCCUGCGGGCCGGGUUGGACCUCCCGUGAGGAGGGGCCUGGCGCAAGGGCUCUUCCCAUGGCCAGCCGCUGUCAGGCUGGCUUCCGUGUUCGGGGCUUUUUGUUCUGCUCCUGUAAGGCACCCGUGGCCCUGGGGGCUGGCCCGGCCUGGGGGCCCAAGGAAGGCCUGGCCCAGGAGGAUAGGCUUUGUCUGCUCUUCGGUCUUCAUUCUCUCUCUGUCUCUCCGUCUCUGUCUGUGUCUGUGUGUCUGUGUCUCUCCGUCUCUGUCUCUGUCUCGGUCAAGUCUCUGUCUCUGUCUCUCUGUCUCCGUCUCUGUCUCUGUCUCUGUCUCUGUCUCUGUCUCUCUAUCUCAGUCUCUGUCUCUCUGUCUCCGUCUCUGUCUCUGUCUCUGUCUCUAUCUCUCUGUCUCCGUCUCAGUCUCUGUCUCUGUCUCCGUCUCUGUGUCUCUCUGUCUCUGUCUCUGUCUCUGUCUCUCAGUCUCCGUCUCCGUCUCUGUCUCUCUGUCUCUGUCUCUGUCUCCCCGUCUCCGUCUCUGUCUCUUUCUCUGUCUCUGUCUCUCAGUCUCCGUCUCCGUCUCUGUCUCCGUCUCCGUCUCUGUCUCUGUGUCUCGGUCUCUGUCUCAGUCUCUGUCUCCCCGUCUCCGUCUCUGUCUCUUUCUCUGUCUCUCCGUCUCCGUCUCCGUCUCCGUCUCCGUCUCUGUCUCCGUCUCUGUGUCUCUCCGUCUCCGUCUCCGUCUCUGUCUCUCCGUCUCCGUCUCUGUCUCCCCGUCUCCGUCUCUGUCUCUUUCUCUGUCUCUGUCUCUCCGUCUCCGUCUCCGUCUCUGUCUCUCCGUCUCCGUCUCUGUCUCCCCGUCUCCGUCUCUGUCUCUUUCUCUGUCUCUGUCUCUCCGUCUCCGUCUCCGUCUCCGUCUCCGUCUCUGUCUCUGUGUCUCUGCCUUUUUCUCUCACCCCUUUUUGUGCUCCUUCUUCACAAUUCCGUGGAGGACAAAGCCGAGAAACCGAGGCACGUCCGUUCUCGCUGACUGCAAUCAGAACAUUUGGCCCAGAAGUAUUCAUUAG